rnacentral:lncRNA from 1 species
GUGUUAUAAGUGUUGAUAGCGCGUGUGAGGGGGAUUCGUGGUGUGAGAGCAUUAGUCCAGGUGUGCCUGAACGUUUGGGCUGAGGACUAUUUGCGGCCUGGCUCUCUGCUCCUGAUCAACAAGCGGCUCUCCGCGUGACAACAGCGCCGGAAAGGCUUUUCUCUAUUCAAAAUGGCACCGUCUCAAUCAGGAAGUGGAGAAAACAACUACGAAGAAUAAGUUGGAUACGUUUCUUCGUUUCUUUUUCUUUGAGAGGAUUUUCUGCUCACAGCCGACCGGGGAGUCUGCAGUUGGGAUUGGGGAUAAAUAAGACGCUGACGGUCAUGGAGAGGCUUUGCUGGUGGUAAAAGCGCUGUCUCCGUUGCAGCCUGCCACAGUAGGUAGUGGUAAAAGGGGGUCCUUUUUCAUCAGUCAGUUGGUGGACAUGUCCAAAGCUGUGGUCUGAUGCCAACCCUCACCUCCGCACCUGCCAUGGACCGGGAGAACUACCUGCAUCCAGAAGACUCUCCCCUGGACAGCAGCAUGUUCUCUGUACCCCCCUCAAACACAGAGAGUUCAAUAUAUAGCUCCUGGGGUCCUUCUGCUCAGAAUGGAUACAGCAUACACUGCCCUGUGCAAUCUGGAAACCAGUAAGUCUCUUCAAGCUUGCAGACACAUUUACAAUACCUUACAAACAGGACAGAUAUAAGUAGACAUGUUUUUUGGUGCAUGAUGUUUUGGUCCCUUUAAGCAGACCUUUAUUUCCUGAACUGAUAAGGCCUGCAGCUGCCGCUCGGUGUUGACUUGCUAUUACGUCUACACAGGCAACCCAGACAAACUGUUUCACAGCCACACACAAGUCAUGGAGGAAGAGCCAACCACACCUGAACCAAAUCUCUGCAAAGUUUUAGUAUUUUAAGCAGGACUCACCUGGUGAUGUCAAGCAACUCACUUCCCUCUGAAAUGUGUGCACAUGCAAUGCUUCAGGCAUGUCAAACGCUUUGAGUUAAAAGUAAAAAUGCUGAUACUGGGGCUGCAGUAGUGCGGUGUAGUGAUCAUCUGAUAACACAGAUGUGCCUCCUUUACGUCAGAGACCUG